AUAUUUGAUUUGAAAAAUACAGACGUGUUUAGUGCAGGCUGCAGCACAGAUGAGCCCACAUCGACUGGUGUAUGUAUCUAGUUACUGUUACCUGGGAACACUGUGAGGGCGUGGUUCCGCUCCAGGCUGAGGACCAGGGAGCGUGCCGUGGUGCUGAAGAUCUGUCGGGGGGCAAAGUUCACCCCAUCAUUGACCUGGAAGUGGAAACCUCCCGACAAGGCACCUGCAAGGAACAAAAGCAACCUCCCCGCUUCUGUUCUGCCUGUCAUCUACCUACCUGGUGUCAUGAACUUCUGGUCAGCCUAUCAUCUACUUACCUGAUGUCAUGGACCACUGUGAUGCCGUUGGAGGCAUCCAGAAGGAAGGAGUCGUGGGUCUGGUCUGAAUCCACCUGGAGGUACUGGAUGUGUCCCAUGUUGACAUCCUCCUGGGAGAAGGAGUGGAUGGUCUCCUCUCUAGUACCCUGGUAGGGAUUGUCCUCUCCCUGGGUUGACCUACGGAGGAACCCGUGGGAUGGAGCCGUCUUCACCUUGUACACUAUCUCAGAGGGGAGGCUGUCCUUAUGGAUCACCUGAAAACAGAGACUUGCCCUCCUCCACCACUACAAUGUGGUUGUAGAGUACAGUGGGGGGCUGCUGGUGGCUCUCCAGGUACACUCUCACCCCAACGCUGGCGUCCAGACGCACCUCUUUAACGCUCACCGUGAAGUUGAAGGAGUCAGCCAGGUUCAUGCUGUCAUCAUGGCGAUACUGAACGCUGCCCACCUUCAGAUCAUGCUGAGUGAAACGAUCCACCUUCAAAUUGAAUUGAAUCAAUUGAAUUGAAUAAUACUAAACCGGUUUGCCUUUGAAUUGAAUUGAACUUUUAUUGAUGCCCUAGGUCAAAUUAAAUGAACAACAUCACAACACACAACAUGCACAUUACAAACAAUACAAUACUGGUGCUAUUUCAAUGAUUUUACCUUAACGUUGUUGUGGAACAGAUGCCCGUGUCUCGGCGGGAGGAAGACCUGGCAGACCACCUCCUCAUCGUCUCGGACAUCCAGGUUUGUAAACACACUGAAGUUGGCCGAACCCAAGAUGGCCACAUGGCCUUUCUGGACCAGCAGGCCUGUGUUGUUCUCCACCUGGAUGUAGGGGUCCUGGGCAAUGACAUCCAACAGUGUGGAUGUGUAGUGUUUCCCAUCUGACACGAAUAGGACGAAGCGUCCAAAGCUGACCUAUGGAGUGAAAUCUUUAAUAUUCGUAACUGUAACAAAGCAAUAUUUAAAACUGUGUGUGUAUUUUGUGUGUAAUAAAAGUUACUGAUUUCACUCCAUACUGACCCCCCUGUGGAUGAACAGCACCCUCCUCUGCUGCAGGUCCUCCUGGCUGAACUGGUACAACUUGUGGCCUGUGUCGUUUACUAGGACCAGGUCGCCCAUGGGGAUUCCCCGUCUAGUGUAGACCAGCUGACUGUCAUCAAAGUCUGAGUCAGCGUCGUGGUAGCGCAGGUCGUCUAACGUCAGCAGCCUCUGCCUGCCCCUGGCCACGUGGAAAACUUUGUCGACAACGCGGACCGGUUUCUCGUCAUUGACAAGGGCAAUCGAGAUGUUGAAGAUGUCAUCAAUGGUGUGAGUGUUUUCUUUUUUGGAGUGUGUGCGUUUGUGAUUGUGUGCUUUGGUGUGUUUGGCGACGGUGGUGUGGAAAGUGAACGCGUCUUCCAUGGUUUCACUGCCAUCGUGCACAUACAUGAUGCGGUCCUCUACGAUGUCCUGAUUGGUGAAAGCCGUGAUGUUAUCGUUAAUAGACGUAGAAUUAGAGAGAUUGAUCCUCUUUAACUUGCCAUGUUUAGGACUGCUGGUGAGUGUAUAAAGUGCUGCUUUGACCCCGACUGUUUCAGCAAACAGCAAAUCCUUGGUGAUUACCUUGCUUUCUCCUUCCAGGAUGGACAGUCCUUUGUUUGUUAGGAUCAGGCUAUGAACAUCUGCCUUGAUGUUGAUUCUGAAGUCGUAACCCCCUGAAUGUGCGUGUUUGGAGACCACCUGGAAACGAAACGAGUCCCUUGUGUCCUCAUGAGGCCUACCAGUUACCUCAUAUUUCACCAUGUGGUCAGAUAUAUUCUUCUGGCUAAAUGUUGAGUUUUUCAUUAAGACUUUGUCUUUGAACACGAGCUGUCCUUUCUUUGGCAGGGAUAGCAUUCUGAAGUGAAGUUCACUGUCAUGGAGCUUCAUGCCCUUGGAGACAACACAGAGCUCCUCGUUGCUAAGGACUUUCCUCACACCGCUGACCUCCAUCUUACUCCUGGUAACCUUGAAGUGGAUCCACCGCACCGUGAUGUGGAAAACCAGCUCAUCAGUCACUGCUGAGCCCACACUGACCCUGCAUUUGAACUGAUCUGUGACAUUGCUUGUCCUGAUCUCCUGGAAGGUGUUGAGGUACCUGAAUAGAAUCGAAAAUAAAAUAUUUAUUGUCCAUUAAAUUAUUUAACCAAAUGUAAAUAUUUCCUUCAACUCGUGGUGUUAAAACAAUGGACAAUUGCACACAAACACAGAUCAAACAACACAGCUAGGUACCUGAUGCGCUCUUUCUCCAGAAGCUUCUGUGAGAAGACAAAGGUGGGCUUCCACUCUCCGCUGGAGUGCAGCCGCUGCAGCUCGCCAUAUCGAGGUGCCUCCACCACGUCAUAGCGAAUGUCAAAGCCCUGCUUCACAACGUUUACCUGCAUAGCCAGGUGUUGGCUGCUGAUGACAGCAGCCCCACCCUGGUCCACCUCCACCCCUGUGUUGUUGUCCACCUUGUGCUCAAGCUGGACAGCCAUGAUCCUUAGUACUACUGUGUUGCUCACCUUGUCCCCAUCACUGACCCUCACAGCCAUCCGGGAGUUCCUCACCAGCCCUCCCGUGUGCACAUAGCUGACCUUCCCCUCCUCCAGGUCGGGUUGGGAGAAGGUGGUGAUGGCCAUCCCUGGGUGGUCCUGCUUCUCCAAUAAGCCUGCUUCAGCAUUAUGGUUCCCCAGUACGGUGAACACUAGGUCUGUGGAGUUGCUGUCCAGGUCGGUGGCUCUGAGAACAUCCGUGUUAAGGUGGCGUUUGGAGUUCUCCAGGAGGAUGAAGAGACUUCCCUCAGGGAGGCUGAGCUCGGGAGCGUCAUUGACGGGAGUGACGCUGAUGUUGAAGCGGUGUAGUUUGUUUCCCUUGAGGUAAAAAGGGAUCUCCUUCUUGCUGUUGGUAAAGACAGAGAACAUGAAGAAGUCUUGAGGGUCUUCUGAGCCUCCAUGGACGUAGAUCACUCUACCGUGCCACAGGUCCAGCAUGCUGAAGGUCCAAUCCUCGUUUUGGUCUGAAUGAUCCACAUCAAGCCUCAGCUGGCCAUGCACAGGCUGCUCUUCAAUACGGAACAUAAUCUGAGACUGACGGAUUCCAAGCUUCCGGAACUCUAGGUUCACCUUGAUGUGCUUAGAUUCUAACAGAGCCCUCCCACCUUCUGGAACCACUAAGUCUUUCAGAACCAGAAAGUUCUGACCCGGCCUCUUCCUGUCCCUGUCUGAUCCAUUAUGGUGGACUAGUGGCAAGGUGACAGAGAGGACAGCCGUGGGGCUCACGGUAGUGAUUGCUUCUGGAAGCUUCUCUAAUUCACAGCCGACAGAUAUGUCUUUGGUGACUACAGCGUGGGGAAGCCCCAUCCUCUGCGCAUUGACCCGGAUGUUUCUCAGACAGCCUUUGAAGGAUCCUCCACCGGCCAGCCGCUUCCCAUUGAAAGACAGUAGGCCGGCCUUCCUGGCUUCUAAACGUGAUCUGUCAUCCACACCACCCAUGUAGAGAGGGCCUCGGAGCUGCAAGGACUUGGAAUGAGCCCCUAGGCUGUGGUUGACUAUCUCCUCACCUAGAAAGAUACAAUUCAUUGGGAUCACUUUAUUUGAAAUAGAAAAUCUCAAAUAGAUGCUUUUUAGAUGUUCAGUAGAUGUUCAACAAACUGUCAACAACAUUCCAACUACAGUACUGUAACUAUUCAGUAACCCUAGCCCUAAUUUGACAACUCAAAAAAUACAAUUCCAGUCACACAAGUGUAUACUGAAUAUAAAAUCAACAAUGACAACACAAAACUACUUGUUUCCAUCGUGGUCCAUACAGGUUGUCCUUACCUACAGUCAGCUGCAGGCUGUGAGGAAGCAAGUGUAGUUUCACCCGGUGCCAUUUCUGGUUGUUGACGUACGUGAGGGAGUGCAGCUCCGUCCUAGUCCCGCCGUUACCAACGACAACCACCAAAGUCCCCUCUUGGAUCUCCAUGGCAAUAAAGUCACUCUGGUGGGCAGAGCUGUACAGGACAAUCCCCUCUUCGGAGGAGGUAUGUACCUCACACUCCAACACCCCCUCCUGAGGGACGUCCCACGGGGGCAGGGACAUGUACGCCCUGGAACUGAAGAAGCUGAUGGGGUCGUCUUCGCCUGCAGAAAACUGAGAACUGCAGCCCAGAGACACCUCAUGGACACUCUUAUAUCCCGAGUAGGGCCGCAGGCUGGACAGCAAGUUGUGCUGGUUGAAGAGCACCUCGUCAACACAGCCACGGAAGCCUAGGAGGAGGAGGAAGAGGAGGAGGAGCAGGAGGAAGAGAAGAAGAAUACUUUAUAGUCAUUGAUUAUAACUUAAAUCUAAUAUUUUUAUUUUAACCCAACCUGUGGCAUCGUCACUAUGGAGGUAGGGUUUGUCCAGGCCAACCGUCCCACCAACGAACAACCCAUCAUGGACACUGAGGUCCAGGUCUGGCCCGGGGAUCCUGACGCUGGUGUGAGAGUGGCGGUCCACCGACAGAGUGACGUUGUGCUGGUCGUGUUGGAGCUCCACAGAGUGCCAGGCCAAGUCGUUCAGAUGAACCCCCUUCUCAGAGCGGAGGGUACGCUCACCUGAUCCCAAAUCCAACUGAACCUGAGCGAAGGAAAGAAUGAUAAAGGAGAGAUGAAGGAGGGAUAAAGGAGAGAUGAAGGAGGGAUCAAUGAGAGAUGAAGGUGUGAUAAAGGAGAGACGAAGGAGAGAUGAAGGAGAGAUGAAGGAGGGAUAAAGGAGAGAUGAAGGUGUGAUAAAGGAGAGAUGAAGGAAAGAUUAAGGAGAGAUAAAGGAGGGGUAAAUGAGAGAUGAAGGUAUUGUGGACGGACCACUAGAGGGCAGGCUGGGCUCAUGGAUAGUUGCCCAACAGAGCCUGGGAGACAAGGUAACCAGAGUCAAUUAAGCACAGCUGACGGUACUAAUGAGAUACUCUCCUUCCCCUAUAAAAGAGAGAAUGGAACCAGAAGAGAGAGGGGAAACUAUCUCUGGAAGAUGGCCACCGAGAGAGAGAAGCUGUGCUGAAAGAACCACUAAGACGGUGACAAAACCGUGAUUUAUGUUUGUUGUAGUUUAAAGAUUAUCCUAUUGUGUUCUUGUAUCAUCUGGAGAAGAAGAUGGGUGUUUUUCCUUGGAAGAUUUUUCAUUGAUUAUGUUUGAAUGUUUUUGUUGACAAAAUACUCUCAAUAGAGAACCGUGUUCAAUCAGAAAAACCUUUUUCCUGACUCGUUUAUUCCACCUUCCCGCUUUAGAGUGACGCCUAAUUACUUGGUACGCUCACAGUAUCAAGAAAUGUUUUUUUUAAUUAACAAAAGACUAAUUGGUGGUUAUUUUGUAAGAACAUUACAGAUUUGUUACAAAAAUCAUCAAACAACAGAAGGGUUCAGGAAAGUAGCACAUCAAGGUUGUUCUCCUCCGCAUAUUUCUGUCUGACAUAGCAUAAGUAGAGGUCAUUCACAAGCAGGAUGCCAGGUUGAAUCCAUUCCACCACAUUUACAGCCACACAUCAACUAUAACCUUACAUGCUGCAGCAGAUACUAACAUUUAACCCACUGUGGUCUCUUCCAGAAAGAUUCAUGAAUGAACUUGUCAGGGACUGUGGUAAAUCCUUAAACUCACGGUGGUCUUUUUUUCUAUGAAAGCAAUAGGAACAUAGCCUUCCUCUGGGUUUAACCUUUGGCCAUUCUGAGGAUAAUAACUGCCUAUAUACACUACAUGGCCAGAAGUAUGUGGACACCUGCUGGUCAAACAUUUAAUUCCAAAAUCAUGGGCAGUAAUAUGGAGUUAGUCCCCCCUUUGCUGCUAUAAAAGCUUCCACUCUUCUGGGAAGACUUUCCACUAGAUGUUGGAACAUUGCUGCGGGGACUUGCUUCCAUUCACCCACAAGAGCAUUAGUGAGGUCAGGCACUGAUGUUGGGCCUGGCUUGUAGUCGGCACUCCAAUUCAUCCCAAAGGUCUCCGAUGGGGUUGAGGUCAGGGCUCUGUGCAGGCCAGUCAAGUUAUUCCACACUGAUCCCUUCACUGGAACUAAGGGGCCUAGCCCAAACCAUGAAAAAACAGCCCCAGACCAUUAUUCCUCUGAUUCACUCUAGAUAACGCGUUUCCACUGCUCCAGAGUCCAAUGGCGACGAGCUUUAAACCACUCCAGCCGACGCUUGGCAUUACACAUGGUGAUUUUAGAAGCUGUUCUGCUAUGGAAACCCAUUUCAUGAAGCUCCCAAAGAACAGUUCUUAUGCUGACGUUGCUUCCAGAGGCAGUUUGGAACUCGGUAGUGUUACGUUCCCCAGUUUAUGUGUUGUAGUUUGUAGUUUGUGCAUGUGUUUAUUUCAGGAAAUGGCUCCGGAAAUCCCUCAAGCAGCUGAUUGGUCGACUCCAUGGCUAAUUGGAGAGCUGACUCCGCCCCCUCGUCAAGACUGCUGUCUCCAAUUACCCAUUCCAUCUGAAGAUAUAUAAAUGCCAGUGUUCUGUUCAGGAGGGAGAUCUUUUUGUAGAGAGGUUUUGCUAGAGGUUUUGCUAGAGGUUUUGCUAGAGGUUUUGAUAGAGGUUGAUUUUGCUGGGAGUUCAUUGCUUUGUGAGUUUGUUGCUCAGAUAGAGCUUAUUUUGAUGUCCUUUGGUUCUUAGUUUGUUUGUGAAAUUGUUUACUAUUUCUGUUUCAUUUGUUCCCAGGGGGGAAGGGGAAGGCACCUUGGGAGUGCUUAGGCAAGAGGCCCGCGGGCAUACAUAUACCCGUAGCAUAUUCGCUGUCUAGGCACACUAGGUAAGACCUGGGCGGACCACCCCCUGUAUUUUGGUUAGGGCACCAGGUGGUGCUAAAUUAGGUAAGUAGUGGGUAGGCAGGUAAGAUAGGAGAGGGGGGGGGUUGAGAUUUACUUUCUUUGCUUUGGUUCCGUCCAGCCCCUUUUCCCCAUAUUACCGUGUAAAGGAAUAAAGUCCUUGUAAACGGUACCACAUUCUGCUUGUUGUCAUUUUUACUCACACCUACAGUCCAUACCUUUUUCGCUUCACAGAGAGUUUAGUUGUAGCAGGGUGUUGCGUUCCCUCUUCAUAGAAGCGUGCGUAACAUAAUGGGGGCUCGUCCGGGAUUUUUCCAUUAAACCCACCGGACCCUGCUGCUCUGAGCUCUCUCUGUGGUUAGUGAUUGAGGUGUGAUGGUAGGUUGUGAGUUUGGAUGACUUGUUUAGUUAGUGUGUUCAGUAGACUGCAUUGUAUAUAAGAUGGCUGCAUCAGCCAUCUCCAAGUUUUUUGAAGCGCCCUCUAUUGAUUGUUUGUUGAGGUUUCGUAAAGUAGACCUUAUAGCUAUAGCUGACCAUUAUGGAUUUGUAUUCCCUGAGAAAGCCCUAAAGGCUGAGCUUUUGGUGCUAGUCAGGGAGGGUUUAGUGAGAGAACGGAUUCUCUCAUUGCAAGGAGAGGAGACGGGUAGACCUUCUGAUGCCAAGUCAGAGGACAGGGCGGAGGAAGGGGUUCCUCGUACCCACUUUACAUUGCCCCGAUUCGAUCCUUUAUCUUCUGCUUCGGGUCGUUCAGAUGGGAUUGCUAGGCUGAAAGUGAGGCUGGCUCGGUUAGAAAUGGAGCAAAAAGAUAAAGAGAGACGGAUGAAUUUUGAACUUGAAAUUAGGAAAAUAGAAGCUGACAAGGAGGUGAGGAUCCGACAACUGGAGCUAGAUGCUGGCUCCAGUGCGACUCCACAAGCUGCUCAUCAUCAAGCCCACUUCGAUGUGAGUAAAAACAUAGCUUUAGUCCCUCCAUUCCGAGAGUCGGAAGUUGAUUAUUAUUUCUCGGCGUUUGAGCGUGUGGCCGCUGCGCUGCAUUGGCCACUCGAGGUUUGGCCUCUCUUGUUACAAUGUAAAUUGUCUGGGAAAGCCCAGGAAGUAGUAGCUGCUCUCUCCCUGGAAUACAGUUUACACUACAAUACAGUUAAAACUACUGUGUUGCGGGCUUAUGAGUUGGUGCCUGAAGCUUAUAGACAGCGCUUCAGGAACCACAAGAAACCCUCUCACCGUACAUUUGUUGAAUUUGCUAGGGACAAAGAGUCUCUGUUUAGUCGCUGGUGUUCAGCUAGCAAAGCUAACACCUUUGCUGAUAUUCGGGAGUUGGUGGUGUUGGAGGACUUUAAAAUCAACCUCCCAGAGAGAAUUGUAGUUCAUUUAAAUGAACAGAAAGUGGUGACAUUGGCCCAAGCAGCAGUGUUGGCAGAUGAGUACGCUUUGACACACAAGACUGUUUUUGGUGCACCACGUUUUGAAGGCCGGACGAUUACGUCAUCAGUUCCUCGUUCAGGUCGCUUUACCGCUGACAACCCUAAGCCUUUUCAUGAAAUCCGUGAAUGUUUUUACUGUCACCAAAAGGGUCACGUGAUUGCGGACUGCCCAGUUUUGAAAAAUAAACCGAAACAGUCCCUGUCACUGUCCCCAAAAAUGAAAAGUUUGGGUUUAGUCAAGUCUUUGGCUCUUCCAUUGGAUCGAGUUAUUGAUUCACCAUUUGAGAAACCGGAUCCUGUCUAUGCUCCGUUUAUCUCUGCCGGUGUUGUUUCCUUAACAGGAGAACAAGCUGAUCAGAAGCCUAUCCAAAUCCUACGAGACACCGGGGCGGCGCAGUCAGUAAUCGUUACUGAUGCUUUACCCUGGUCUCCUGAAACGUAUUGUGGCUCGCAUGUCAUAUUACAGGGGAUAGAGACAAAAACCGUACCUGUACCAUUACACUGGGUCCACUUAGUGUCAGACUUGGUAUCAGGAUGUUUCCGUGUUGGUGUAGUGUCUACACUGCCAGUAUCAGGAGUCAAAUUGCUACUAGGGAAUGAUAUUGCUGGUGGUAAUGUCACUCCUGUGUUAGAGGUAGUAGACAAUCCAGAAAUCAGAACUACAGAUGAGAAAUUGGUUCAAGCAUUUCCACAUGUUUUUCCUGCUUGUGUGUUAACGAGGGCACAAUCUCGCAAGCUAGGAGAUGUGGUGGAUUUGGCUACUUCCAUUUUUGAGAACGUUGAAGUAGAAGACAAUGCACCGAGUAUGCCUUCUGCAAUGCCGACAGGUUUUACCCCCGUAAAAACUAAGGCAGGGGAAAACGAAAUUGCGCCCCAAUUACAUGACAUUAUUUUGUCUGUCACCCCCGAGAAGGUGAUUGAAUGUCAAAAAGAAGACACCAGUCUUCGCAAGUGUUUUGCUUCGGUAAUUUCCAUUGAGGGAGCUAAAACUAGAGAGACCGCCUACUUUAUGGAAGCAGGAGUUUUGAUGCGGAAAUGGGCAUCUCAUGACACCAUUAAUGACUGGAGUGAAGUGUGUCAAGUGGUUGUUCCUACACCGUUCCGACAGCAGGUGCUGUCACUCGCCCAUGACCAGGCGUGGUCUGGACACUUGGGGAUCACAAAGACUUAUAACCGGGUCCUUCGUCAUUUCUUCUGGCCAGGUUUGAAGUCUGAUGUGGUCCAAUUUUGUAAAACAUGUCACAUAUGUCAACUCACUGGGAAAGUGAAUCAAACAGUUCCUCGAGCGCGGCUCUGCCCGAUUCCUGUGGUGGGGGAACCGUUUGAAAGAGUGAUAAUUGAUUGUGUAGGUCCAUUGCCGAAAACCAGGUCAGGUAACCAGUUCCUACUAACAAUAAUGUGCAGUGCUACUCGAUACCCAGAGGCUAUUCCUCUCCGUACUAUAACGGCUAAGACUGUGGUGAAGGCACUGGUGAAGUUCUUCUCUACGUUUGGACUCCCUAAAGUAAUCCAAACUGAUCAGGGAUCCAACUUCAUGUCUAAACUGUUUUCAAAUGUGUUAAAGACAUUGUGUAUUUCCCAUCAGGUCUCCAGUCCGUAUCAUCCAGAGAGUCAAGGGGCUCUAGAACGCUGGCAUCAGACACUGAAGGCAAUGCUACGCAAGUAUUGUAUGGAUACCAGUACUGAUUGGGAUGAGGGGGUGCCCUUUGUCCUAUUUGCUAUAAGGGAAACGAUACAAGAGUCCUUAGGGUUCAGCCCUGCUGACCUUGUGUUUGGACACACCCCACGGGGUCCGCUGAAAGUUUUGAAGGAGCAUAUCUUAUCUCCUACACCCAGUAGCGCCCUUAAAAAUGUGUUGGAUUAUGUCAGUAAGAUGCGGGAGAGACUGCACGCCGCAUGUGCGUUAGCCCAAAAGUCUCUCUCCUCGUCUCAAAAACGCAUGAAGUUGCAUUAUGACAAAAAGGCUGUUGGCCGUUCAUUUGCACCAGGGGAUCAAGUUUUAGUUUUGUUGCCAAUCCCUGGCUCAUCUCUGUCAGCACGUUUUUCUGGACCAUAUCUGGUGGAAAAGAAACUCAAUGACACCAAUUAUGUGAUAAAGACACCAGAUCGAAGGCGUUCUUCCCGUGUGUGUCAUGUUAACAUGCUGAAAACAUAUUAUGUGCGUGAUUCAGCUCCUCAAGUAAGCCGGUCCAGCCCACCGUCUCCAGUGUGGCUGCGGUGGUGCUGAAGCCUGGGUGGGACCUAGAUGAGGAUAAGGAGGACGGGUUGGAGUUACGCCAUACGUUACAGCAAGGUGAACGCCUAUGUAAUUCAGAGAUGCUGAAGAAGUUACCCUCUCAAAUGGAACAUUUGGAUAGCGAUCAAACUAAGGAUCUUAUCCUGUUGAUAAACAGUUUUCUCAGUGUGUUUCAGGACAUUCCAAGUCGCACAUCCAUCUUGGAACAUGACGUGGAUGUGGGGAAUGCUGUUCCUAUACGUCAGCAUCCGUACCGGGUUAAUGCUAAGAAAAGGGAGGUAAUGAAAAGUGAGGUAGCUUAUUUAUUACAGAAUGACAUGGCAAAACCCAGUAACAGCUCCUGGAGUUCCCCAUGUAUUCUUGUUCCUAAGCCAGACGGUACGUCCCGUUUAUGUACGGACUAUCGUCGCGUAAAUGCAGUUACAAAGUCUGAUUCUUUUCCUAUACCUCGCUUAGAUGACUGUAUUGAUAGAAUUGGUUCUGCUGCUUACGUUAGUAAGUUAGAUUUGUUAAAAGGUUAUUGGCAGGUGCCUCUGACCUCUCGAGCUUCUGACAUAUCGGCUUUUGUUACGCCAGAUAACUUUGUACAAUACACUGUGAUGCCCUUUGGCAUGUGUAAUGCACCUGCUACCUUUCAGCGGCUAGUUAACAUUGUGUUUGAAGAUGUGCCAAAUUGUACUGCGUACCUUGACGAUGUGGUGAUUCAUUCGUCUACUUGGUCUGAUCAUCUCUCCACUUUGAAAAGUGUGUUUCAGCGGUUGGAGAAGGCUUCUUUAACCCUCAAUUUGGCCAAGUGUGAGUUUGGGAAGGCUACAGUGACUUACUUAGGGAAACAAGUGGGACGAGGUCAAGUGCGCCCAGUAACUGGCAAAGUGGAAGCAAUUGUUGCUUUUCCUGCUCCCACUACUCGCCGCCAGUUGCGCAGAUUCCUAGGGAUGGUAGGGUACUAUCGUACAUUCUGUAAGAAUUUCUCGACGGUAGUUGCUCCCCUUUCAUCUCUGCUUAGUCCCAAGGUACCAUUCAAGUGGUCCAAGGACUGUAACUACGCUUUUGAGUCCGCUAAAGCGCUACUUUGUAGUGCCCCAGUGCUUGCCGCCCCCAACUUUGACAAACCUUUUAAGUUGGAGGUAGAUGCUAGUAUAGUGGGGGUGGGUGCGGUUCUCUUACAGGAAGAUGAAGACGGAGUGGAUCGGCCCGUCAGUUUCUUCUCCCGUAAGUUCAACUCGUGUCAGUCAAGGUACUCUACAAUUGAACAAGAGACGCUGGCUUUCUUGCUUGCCUUACAGUUCUUUGAGGUAUAUGUGGGCUCCAGUGCCUUGCCUGUUAUGGUCUUCACGGACCAUAAUCCGUUAGUGUUCUUGAAACAGAUGUACAACCAGAACCGCCGCCUUAUGCGGUGGGCUCUGAUUGUACAAGGAUAUAAAGUACAGAUAGCUUAUGUGAAGGGCUCGGCGAAUGUGGUUGCUGACGCUCUAUCACGGGUUUACUAACUGGGGAUAUGUUGGCUUUUGUUAUUGCAAAACUAGGUUUGCAAUUUUUGUGGUGGGCGUGUUGCGUUCCCCAGUUUAUGUGUUGUAGUUUGUAGUUUGUGCAUGUGUUUAUUUCAGGAAAUGGCUCCGGAAAUCCCUCAAGCAUCUGAUUGGUCGACUCCAUGGCUGAUUGGAGAGCUGACUCCGCCCCCUCGUCAAGACUGCUGUCUCCAAUUACCCAUUCCAUCUGAAGAUAUAUAAAUGCCAGUGUUCUGUUCAGGAGGGAGAGGUUUUGCUAGAGGUUUUGCUAGAGGUUUUGCUAGAGGUUUUGCUAGAGGUUUUGCUAGAGGUUUUGCUAGAGGUUUUGCUAGAGGUUUUGCUAGAGGUUUUGCUAGAGGUUUUGCUAGAGGUUUUGCUAGAGGUUUUGCUAGAGGUUUUGCUAGAGGUUUUGAUAGAGGUUUUGAUAGAGGUUGAUUUUGCUGGGAGUUCAUUGCUUUGUGAGUUUGUUGCUCAGAUAGAGCUUAUUUUGAUGUCCUUUGGUUCUUAGUUUGUUUGUGAAAUUGUUUACUAUUUCUGUUUCAUUUGUUCCCAGGGGGGAAGGGGAAGGCACCUUGGGAGUGCUUAGGCAAGAGGCCCGCGGGCAUACAUAUACCCGUAGCAUAUUCGCUGUCUAGGCACACUAGGUAAGACCUGGGCGGACCACCCCCUGUAUUUUGGUUAGGGCACCAGGUGGUGCUAAAUUAGGUAAGUAGUGGGUAGGCAGGUAAGAUAGGAGAGGGAGGGGGUUUGAGAUUUACUUUCUUUGCUUUGGUUCCGUCCAGCCCCUUUUCCCCAUAUUACCGUGUAAAGGAAUAAAGUCCUUGUAAACGGUACCACA